GACAGAGGUGCCAAGCGUUAGGCGGAAUCGCUGGGCUUAAAGCGUGUGUAGGCGGCCCGUUACGUGUCUUGUGAAAUCCCCCGGCUCAACCGGGGAACUGCUGGGCAUACUGGCGGGCUUGGGUCGCUCAGGGGCAGACGGAACAGGCGGUGGAGCGGUGAAAUGCGUAGAUAUCUGGAGGAACACCGGUGGCGAAGGCGGCAUCCUGGACCAACACUGACACUGAGGAGCGAAAGCCAGGGGAGCAAACGGG
rnacentral:rRNA from 1 species